rnacentral:lncRNA from 1 species
CCUAAAUGCCUUCUAAAUUUCCUUCCAAGAGCAAUCUAGAUUAAGGCAAAAUUAUGUUUAUUAGAGAGUUUAAAAGGAGCUGUUCCCAGGGCUUGGAGAAAGGAAAUUCAGCUUUCUCCCUUCUUUGAAUGAAGCUCUCCUGCUCAAAUUUCAUCUCUGUAUAAUUUUCAGAUGUCUUCACGCACUCAUGGUAUGACACUCUUUCUCUCUGUCAUUCUCUUUCAGUUUGUACUGUGAAUCCAUGCAGAAUCCUACAAAUCCUGUGAAACUAAGUUUAAUGCCAAGAACUCUCCAGGAGUGAAAAUCUGUCAAUAUUCCAAUAGAAAAGAUGGAGCGGCAGUCGUGUGAUAAAGAUCUUCUAUGCAUUUUUUUCUGUUUUGCUACACCGUUUGAAAUGUCUUGUUCAGAUUACAUCAUUCAGUGCUUUUCUUCUUUAAUCUUGAAUUUGAAUGUACCUUGCCAUGCCUUAGAACUAUCAGCAGCAUGCAAUGAUUGUACAGUGUGAAAUGAUCCGAAAUGUCUGGGAUGAAUGGAGGAAACAGAGCCAGUUCGAUGAAAUAACCCAAAAUUGAGGUCAGGAGUAGUGUUAAUUGUCCUUUUAUAUCUCAGUUCCAUUUAUCCUGUCAUUAAUAGAGUGUGUUUUCCACUUCAGAGUUUGACCAGAGCCCAGAAUUCUUCCAAAUCCUCCUAUUUUAGGUAGUAUUUUCUAGGAAAAAAUCUUAUAUGUAACCACUCUUAAGUUAUACAUUUGCUUUUGAAGUAGAACAGCUUACCCUUAGCAUUGGAAAAACAGGAGGGAAACCUGUCAUGAAAAUAAUUUUCGUAAUUGAGAAAUUUUCCUGGGGGUUUCAUU